rnacentral:rRNA from 1 species
UCCGCAGAGGGCAAGCGUUGUUCGGAAUUACUGGGCGUAAAGCGCACGUAGGCGGAUUGUUAAGUCGGGGGUGAAAUCACGGGGCUCAACCCCGGAACUGCCUUCGAUACUGGCGAUCUUGAGGUCGGGAGAGGUGAGUGGAAUGGCGAGUGUAGAGGUGAAAUUCGUAGAUAUUCGCCGGAACACCAGUGGCGAAGGCGGCUCACUGGCCCGAUACUGACGCUGAGGUGCGAAAGCGUGGGGAGAAAACAGG